AACGUCCCAGUUCGGAUUGUAGUCUGCAACCCGACUACAUGAAGCUGGAAUCGCUAGUAAUCGCGAAUCAGCAUGUCGCGGUGAAUACGUUCCCGGGUCUUGUACACACCGCCCGUCACACCAUGGGAGUUGGUAACGCCCGAAGUCAGUGACCUAACCGCAAGGGAGGAGCUGCCGAAGGUGGGGCCAGUAACUGGGGUGAAGUCGUAACAAGGUAAC
rnacentral:rRNA from 1 species